rnacentral:lncRNA from 1 species
GGUGCUGCCCAGGAUCAGGAGGCUGAGCCGUGAUCUGGAAGUGAGUGCCCAUCCAUACACCUUCCCCAGCUUUGGGGCCACAGAGGGACAGAAACCGCAGGCAGGCUGGCCUGGGAAUGAACCUACACCAGCCUGAAGUCAGAAGAGCCUCUAGGAGCCUCCAGCCUGGACUCUUUUUACAGAUGGGGAAACUGAGUCCCAGAGAGGGAGCAAUAAAGGAUGUCUAAGGUCAUCAGCAACGUAAAGCCAACAGCAUCAUCCUGAGUCAUAUUUGAACCUCAGGGAAAGAAACAUAUGUUCGAAGAGGUUCUGGGGCUGCUGCACCCGAUAUCAUACCUGGUUGGCCCUGGGAAAGGGCCCACCUCCAAUACAUAAACACAACCAGCUUUGACAGUGAGCCCUGAAGCAUGGCAUUGAGAAGCUGCCUAAGAAGGAGGCAGGUCCAUCAGCCUGGGUGCCCGACUGAUUACCCUGAGCAGAGCUCCCCAGCCCACCUGUGAUGGACGCAUGGAGCUUGAGCAAGGAAUAAAUAUUCGUUGCUGGACUCUGAUUACACUGCCUAUCCAAGAUCUGAGAUCAUCAACUCAUCUCAAAAUCCUUAAGCUGACCACAGCAGCAUCAUCCCUUUUGCAGUGUAAGCUAGAGUGGCUUUGAGUUGCGGUUUCACCCUCCCUGCAGAUCCACAG